AAGAACAGAGCCGGGGAGGUAGCUCAGUGGCACCGGCCUGCCUGGCAAGCUCAAAUUCGAUCCCCUGAGCUCGAUCCCCAGUACUGGAAAAAAAACCCCUAAGAAUAAAUAGACGAAAUAAAUUUUAAAAUAUCUCCAGUCCAGUGCCUAAAGUAUCAUUUCAACGCGUGAUCAGUGUGUUACACGCACUAAGAGAGCUCACGUUCUCUUUCGCGUGCUAAAUCUUCAUCUGGCGCGGGGUUGUAUUUGAGGACACCUCACUUCCGGCAACCAGGGAGGAGGAACUCGGCCUUUAGGAAGAGACGACCGCCCCCUGGCGGGCAAAAUGGGGAACUGCAGGGAGGCCUAGAGGAUUCCCCGGAGCAAGGGGCGGAGAGCCCGGGCCGCUCUGCCUGGUGUGGGAGGGGUGGGAAGAGCAGCAGCGGAGGAAUCACUGCCCCUGCGACUUCUCCGAAAAUGGCUCCGUGUGUGUGUCCUGGGCAUGACAGACCUGGGCUCCGGCGCCCUCCCCGGACUUGGAGUGACCUGGGCGCUGACCCUGGGCAUUCUCACUUCCAGGGCCUCCAGGAAGCCGGUUGCCCGCUGGGAAGGAGGCCGGGCUGGGCAGCUGCAGGUCGAGGGCCCCGGAGAAAGGAAAGGCCGCGUGGGGACCCUGCGGGGACAGAUCUGUGAUCCCUCAUGCCCUGGGAGCCGGGCCCGGCCGCCAGGCUGCGUGGGCCGGGAAGAGAAUCAGCAUCACUGUGGAGUGAGGGGCCUCUGCCAGCCAAUCGUGCUGACAUGAAAACACACAAAACCGCCAUCCACAGAUGUGCACACACGCACGCCUCGCCAACACAGCUUCAGCUCAUUUGCAAAACCCAAAGCUGCUUGCAGGUGAGCUGGUGAACGAGAAGCAGGAAGAGGAAGCUCUUGAGGAAACAGUCAGCUCCGCCCCUGCGAGAAUGAGGCCGAACCCAAACCGCAGUGGAAAUGUCAGCACUGAGGAGGCGCAUCGCGGCUUGGCUUGUGGUGGACCCACUGCAUUUAUUGUAACUGGGUAACCCGAGUCUGUCCUGUCCCCAGUCCCCAGCACCACUGCCCCAUUCUAACAGGGUCAGCCAAGUUAAUUCUGCUAUGGAAAAGUGAAAGGAAAAGAGACACCAUAUUAAAGAAUCUUACCACAGUGAUAUAUGCACACCCAUGUUCAUAGCGGCACAGUGCAUAAUAGCUAAAGCUUGGAAACAGCCCAAGUGCCCGUCAACUGGAAACUAGAUAAAGAAGAUGUGGGUUUUUUUAUAAAAUGGAGUACUACUCAGCCAAAGGAAUGAGAAACUAGAGGCAUUUUAUAGCUAAAUGGAUGCAUAUUGAGGCCAUCCUCUUAAGUGAAAUAAAUAGGACACACACACGUGUAAAUACCGAAUCGUUUCUCUAGUGUGAGAAACUGAAACUGUAAUUAAGGAUUAAAAUGCUUAAAAUGAAUAAUGGAUAAUUUGAAAUAAGAAGAAAAGGUCCAAAGGGGUUGGGGAAGUAGGAGGGGUAAGGGAAAGGAAAAAUGAGAAAUGGAAAAAAUGGAAACAAAGUCUUUGUAAAUAGGGAAGGGUGGAGGGGUGCAGGGAGGACAGGGAAUGGGGAAAAAAUAAGAACCAAGAUGCAUCAUGCACAGGUACAAGCACCCAAUGAUAAAUGUAAAUGUAUUGUAUACCUAAAAUGUACCAAUAAAAGAAUUUAAGCAAAAAAAGACUAUAUUUACUACAAUAACAGAAGGAAAGCCCAGGAACUAAGGGUGUAUGAAGUUGAAAGAGAAAGCCGGAUCUGGGAGUCACACCCAUGCUCCCAGCAUUUGGGAGGCUGAGGCAGGAGGACUGUGUCAAGGUUGAGGCCAGCCUGGGCUGCAUAGUGAGACCCUGUUGAGAGAGUGUGUGCAGUGAAGUAAUUCAGUAUCUGACAGAAUAUAAUGCCCUGCUCAGCUGGUGUGUGCCAAGGUCCAAGGACAUGAUGUCUUUCUACUUCUGUGCCAAAAUAUAAACACACAAGGAUGCUGGAGAUCCCCAUAGUCAGGUUCCAGUAGCCACCUGCCCAGUGUGUGAUGCAGGCCUGAGAAAAAGAAUACACUAAGAGACAGAACUAG
rnacentral:lncRNA from 1 species